AUUGAACGCUGGCGGCAGGCCUAACACAUGCAAGUCGAGCGGAUGAAGGGAGCUUGCUCCUGGAUUCAGCGGCGGACGGGCGAGUAAUGAAUAGGAAGCUGCCUGACAGUGGGGGCUAACGUCCGGUAACGGGCGCUGAUACAGCACACGUCAUGAGUGAGAAACUGAGGGAUCUUCGGACCUCACGCUAUCAGAUGAGACUACGCCGGAUUAGCUAGUUGGUGAGGUAACGGCUUACCAAGGCGACGAUCCGUAACUGGUCUGAGAGGAUGAUCAGUCACACUGGAACUGAGACACGGUCCAGACUCCUACGGGAGGCAGCAGUGGGGAAUAUUGCACAAUGGGCGAAAGCCUGAUCGAGCCACGCCGCGUGUGUGAAGAAGGUCUUCGGAUCGUAAAGCUCUUUUAGUUGGGAGGAAGAGAAGUAAGUGAAUCUGUUCCUGUUUUGACGUUACCUAAAGAAAAAGCACCGGCUAACUUCGUG
rnacentral:rRNA from 1 species